GGAAAUCUCACCAGGCCCGGACACUGGAAGGAUUGACAGAUUGAUAGCUCUUUCUUGAUUCAGUGGGUGGUGGUGCAUGGCCGUUCUUAGUUGGUGGAGCGAUCUGUCUGGUUAAUUCCGAUAACGAACGAGACCCCAACCUGCUAACUAGCCCUCGGGUCCUGCUUCUGUUGGGCCCGACGGAAUGAUUCGCUUCUUAGAGGGACUCGCGGCGCCUAGCCGCACGAAGGGGGGCGAUAA
rnacentral:rRNA from 1 species